UGGUGUUAAGAAGCAAGAUAUCCGCUCUCCAUCGUCUCAGCAGGAUUUCAAGCAG
rnacentral:tRNA from 1 species